AGUCAUUAAACUCUUUGGGAUUAACCACAACCCUUGAUGCCAAGCCAAAACCAACUAGUACUCUCAAACCAGGCUAUCAAAAGCUAGUCGAGUCAAUGGUUUUGGACCACUGUUGGAGCAGCUACAUGGGGAACCACUCAGCAAGAAUCGUGCUAGGAGGUAGUACUAUUGUAGAGGGUAAAGGUGGUGUGUGUUUAUUUUAUGAGAGGUUGAAGACAAUCCACAAUGCCUUUUAAAUCGGCAAUGUUUUUUCUCUUUUUUUUAAAAAAAAUUAAUUAAUUGCUAAAAUGACAUUAUUUUAGUGCCCGUUUGGCACUGCGGUACAACCAGCUUUUUGCAAAAUUUCAAAAAAACAAUUUU
rnacentral:lncRNA from 1 species